GCCUACGGGUGGCUGCAGUGGGGAAUAUUGGACAAUGGGCGCAAGCCUGAUCCAGCAAUGCCGCGUGUGUGAAGAAGGUCUUCGGAUUGUAAAGCACUUUCGACGGGGACGAUGAUGACGGUACCCGUAGAAGAAGCCCCGGCUAACUUCGUGCCAGCAGCCGCGGUAAUACGAAGGGGGCUAGCGUUGCUCGGAAUGACUGGGCGUAAAGGGCGCGUAGGCGGAUUGUACAGUCAGAUGUGAAAUUCCUGGGCUCAGCCUGGGGGCUGCAUUUGAUACGUGCGAUCUUGAGUCCGGAAGAGGGUGGUGGAAUUCCCAGUGUAGAGGUGAAAUUCGUAGAUAUUGGGAAGAACACCGGUGGCGAAGGCGGCCACCUGGUCCGGUACUGACGCUGAGGCGCGAAAGCGUGGGGAGCAAACAGGAUUAGAUACCCCUGUAGUCC
rnacentral:rRNA from 1 species